GAUGAACGCUGGCGGCGUGCCUAAUACAUGCAAGUCGAGCGAACAGAUGAGGAGCUUGCUCCUCUGACGUUAGCGGCGGACGGGUGAGUAACACGGGGAUAACCUACCUAUAAGACUGGGAUAACUUCGGGAAACCGGAGCUAAUACCGGAUAAUAUUUUGAACCGCAUGGUUCAAUAGUGAAAGACGGUUUUGCUGUCACUUAUAGAUGGAUCCGCGCCGCAUUAGCUAGUUGGUAAGGUAACGGCUUACCAAGGCAACGAUGCGUAGCCGACCUGAGAGGGUGAUCGGCCACACUGGAACUGAGACACGGUCCAGACUCCUACGGGAGGCAGCAGUAGGGAAUCUUCCGCAAUGGGCGAAAGCCUGACGGAGCAACGCCGCGUGAGUGAUGAAGGUCUUCGGAUCGUAAAACUCUGUUAUUAGGGAAGAACAAAUGUGUAAGUAACUAUGCACGUCUUGACGGUACCUAAUCAGAAAGCCACGGCUAACUACGUG
rnacentral:rRNA from 1 species